rnacentral:rRNA from 1 species
UACGAAGGGGGCUAGCGUUGUUCGGAAUUACUGGGCGUAAAGCGCGCGCAGGCGGUCUUCCAAGUCAGUGGUGAAAGCCCGGAGCUCAACUCCGGAACUGCCAUUGAAACUGUUGGACUUGAGUACGAGAGAGGUGAGUGGAAUUCCGGGUGUAGCGGUGGAAUGCGUAGAGAUCCGGAAGAACACCGGUGGCGAAGGCGGUCUGCUGGGCAGUUGCUGACACUGAGGCGCGACAGCGUGGGGAGCAAACAGG